AAAAAAAAAAAAAAAAAAAAAAGAAAAAAAAAGAAAAAAAGAAAGAGGAGGGUGCAAAAUCAAAAGAAAUCAAAAGAAAGCAAAAUCAAAAGCUAAAUCAAAAGAAAAAAAAACAAAAGAAAGAUAGCACCCUCAAAGUCCCAAGUUGACUAAUGCUGAAUUCGACGGAAAGAACGAAAAGAUCAACUGCCAUGUGUCAUGGUCAAGUUAUAUCAGCAGAGAGUGAAGAAAGCAUUCGA
rnacentral:lncRNA from 1 species